rnacentral:rRNA from 1 species
GACGUAGGGCGCGAGCGUUGUCCGGAUUUAUUGGGGCGUAAAGAGCUCGUAGGCGGCUUGUUGCGUCGACUGUGAAAACCCCGCGGCUUAACUGCGGGCUUGCAGUUGAUACGGGCAGGCUAGAGUUCGGUAGGGGAGACUGGAAUUCCUGGUGUAGCGGUGAAAUGCGCAGAUAUCAGGAGGAACACCGGUGGCGAAGGCGGGUCUCUGGGCCGAUACUGACGCUGAGGAGCGAAAGCGUGGGGAGCGAACAGG